AACUGCAACUGGGAAGGAAUCAGCUCGAGAUAUAGCAGUUGAAUGAUUCUAUGUGACGGUUGAGCAGGAUGUGGAUCUUUAACGGCAACGUAAAUGAAGUUGGAGACGCUGGCAAGGGCCCUGGGAAGAGUUCUCUUUUCUCCUUAACCGCUUACGACCUUGAAAUCGGAUUAUCCGGAGCUAAGGUUAUAUGGCGGGUAGAGCACAACACUUCUGUUGUGUCCGGUGCGUCCUUGACAGUCCUUGAAAAUCCGACGGAAUGUAUAAGUCUCACGCCUGGUCGUACUCAUAACCGCAGCAGGUCUCCAAGGUGAACAGCCUCUAGUU
rnacentral:ncRNA from 1 species